AGGAGCCAGUGAAGUACUCUUAGUUUAGGGAUUGAGAGAAGACACCAAGAAGAAUCCACUCAGAGAGGACAAAAAUAAGGACUCUAUUGCAAAAGCUGCAAGGAUAUUUCAAAUAGAUGUCCAGGAGAAAGUCAGUGGCAUUGUGACGGGUGAUGGACGAGCUAUGAAAAUGGCUUGCAGACAACUCCCGAGAUCCGGCCAGGGUGGGACUCAGGCAGCUUAUUCACCCGCCCUCUUGGUCCCAUUCCUCCAAUCCCUGCCUGAAAGGACAAAAGGAGCGACUUGGUCCCGUGGCUUCAGUCACUAGGCUCACUGCUGCCUGACCGCCUUUCUCCACCAGCAGCCAGCGAUGCCCGAUGCCCCUCUGUCUCAAGGCCAUCUAAGCAAGUCCAGAUGGCAGAAACUGAAUCUCCAGGAAAGUGGGAGUAAGCAGCUGGUAAAUAUUUCACUGCAAUCACUUCUUGUUUGUCAUCAGAAUGAGUAACUGUGAGUGGAUUGUGGCUUCAAAUUUCCAUCCAGAUUUGGGGGAGGAAAGGAGAAGGAAACGAGCAGAACGUGUCCUGGAAAGCUGGCCCUUUGUUGUGUCCUCCGUCCUAUUUACCUCCUCUGUUGUUAGGCAGCUCCUCCCACUCACCUCACAGCAUCUCCCUAAAUGGAGAAUUUUUCACUCCAUUUUCAUCUUGAGGAAAAGGGACGUUGGUUUAAAUUUAGGGAACUUUGCCUAACCACGAGAUUUGUCUCCCACUCCUCCAACUCAAAGUCAGAGGACCACAGGGGCAAGGAUCUCGAUAUAACUAUCCAACCUCCAGAACAUCCUAGGGAGGGGUAGAAACCAGAGGCCACUUUGUCAUAUUCUGCCAAAUCUUAUCUUCCCUUUUAGUGUCCUGGUCGAGAUCACAGAUCCAACAAUGUUUCUGUACUUCGCCUACUCAGUAAUUUAUGGAUGUGUUUUCAACCGAAUAGUCUUGUUUUUAUUUCAUUAGAAAAGCUGAGGAAGUUUAAAUAGUUAGGCCAACACAGAAGACCUAGAAUUCUAGAUCUGCCAGUUACUGGUUUUGUAACCUCAGGCAGAUGUCUUGGGUUUCCUCCCCCAGUUUUCUUCUCAUUCUUCCAUGGCCAUAUCUAUGCCUACUCCAUCAAUAUGCCCAGCACAUACCAUGCCCACCAAGAGAUCUUGAACUUCUUAAGACUAAACUUAUAUACACGUGGUUCAAGCUCAGAGCUUGGUCACAGCAGAUAUUUUAAAAAUAUUAAAUGUUAAUAUCUCCUAGGCUAUGAAAUCGGGACAAUUGUGCCAAGUAGUAAAUAUCAAAUAAAUCACAUGAUUUGUAAACUAUAAAACAUAGUAACUAAUACAUAUGUUUAAAAGUUGUGUCACUGGUCUUUCAAGAGAUACAAAUUCAAACAACACUGAGAUUCCAUCUCACUCUAGAAGUAAAUCAAUAACAAAUGCUGGCAGGGAAAAGGAGUCCUUCUCCAUAUUGGUGGGAUUAUAGACUGCUGCAACCACUGUGGAAAUCAGCAUGAAGAAUCUUCAAGAAAGUAAAGCUGGAGAUUCCAUUUGCUCCAGAUAUUCCCUUUCUGGAUGUCUUCCUAAAAGAAUUAAAAGCAUCAUACCACAGCAGCAUAUGCAUACUUAUGUUUAUAGUGGCACAGUUUGUGAUAUUCAAAUCUUGGAAAUAGCUCAAAUGCUGAUUAAUUGGUGAAUGGAUAAAGAGGCUUUGGUUUUUUGUGCGAAGGAUUACUACUCUGUUAUAAAAAAGGAUAAGCUUGAGACAUUUCUGGGUAACUGAAUGCACCUUGACAGCAUACUCUUAAAUGAAAUAAACUGGACACACGUGUAAAUACCACAUUGUUUCUCUGGUGUUAGAAACCAAAAGUGUAAGUAAAGACCAAAAUGUAUAACAGGUAUUGUAAAAUAGCAAAGAAAUGUUUAAAUGGUGAGGGGAAUGAGAGAGGGAAGAGGAGGAAAGGAAGAAAGGGAAAAGGAAAAAAAUGAGAAGAGAAGGAAAAUGGAAACAAAGCUUUUGUAAAUGGGAGGGGAGGAGGGGCUAAAGGAAGGGUAGGGGAGUGGAAAAAAGAAUCAAGUUAUACCAUGUACAGGUACAAAUUCUCUAUGAUGAAUGUGAUCAUUAUUUAUACUUAAAAUAUAUCAAUCAAAUCUUAUGGAAGAAAAAAAUUGUAAUAAUGUCAUUGUACAAAACCUGUAUGGCUUUUUAGAAAUUAUGUGGCCCUAUUAAAAUAUUCAUCAUAUUUGAAAA